rnacentral:rRNA from 1 species
AUACGUAGGGGGCGAGCGUUGUCCGGAAUUACUGGGCGUAAAGGGUGCGUAGGCGGAAUGUCAAGUCAGAUGUGAAAUACCCGGGCUUAACCCGGGGGCUGCAUUUGAAACUGACAUCCUUGAGUGCAGGAGAGGCAAGUGGAAUUCCUAGUGUAGCGGUGAAAUGCGUAGAUAUUAGGAGGAACACCGGUGGCGAAGGCGACUUGCUGGACUGUAACUGACGCUGAGGCACGAAAGCGUGGGGAGCAAACAGGAUUAGAUACCCUGGUAGUCCACGCCGUAAACGAUGGAUACUAGGUGUGGGGUCCGAUAGGAUUCCGUGCCGCAGCAAACGCAAUAAGUAUCCCGCCUGGGGAGUACGAUCGCAAGGUUGAAACUCAAAUGAAUUGACGGGG